GGUUGAUCCUGCCAGUAGUCAUAUGCUUGUCUCAAAGAUUAAGCCAUGCAUGUCCAAGUAUAAACCACUUUGUACGGUGAAACUGCGAAUGGCUCAUUAUAUCAGUUAUUGUUUAUUUGAUGAUACCUUGCCACUUGGAUAACCGUGGUAAUUCUAGAGCUAAUACAUGCACGUCAGGCCCGACUCUUGCGGGAGGGCCGUGUUUAUUAGGUAAAAGCCAACCCGGGGCGACCCGGCCGCUGGUGAUUCAUGAUAACUUUGCGAACCGCAUUCAGCCCAUUCAGCGGCGGCGG
rnacentral:rRNA from 1 species